UACGAAGGGGGCUAGCGUUGCUCGGAAUGACUGGGCGUAAAGGGCGCGUAGGCGGAUGGCACAGUCAGAUGUGGAAUUCCCGGGCUUAACCUGGGGGCUGCAUUUGAUACGUGUUGUCUUGAGUUCGGAAGAGGGUCGUGGAAUUCCCAGUGUAGAGGUGAAAUUCGUAGAUAUUGGGAAGAACACCGGUGGCGAAGGCGGCGACCUGGUCCGACACUGACGCUGAGGCGCGAAAGCGUGGGGAGCAAACAGG
rnacentral:rRNA from 1 species